UCGAGCGGAUCUCUUCGGAGAUUAGCGGCGGACGGGUGAGUAACGCGUGGGUAACCUGCCCUAUACAGCGGGAUAACACAUCGAAAGAUGUGCUAAUAUCGCAUAAGACUACGCUAUCGCAUGAUAAAGUAGUCAAAACUGAGGUGGUAUAGGAUGGACCCGCGUCUGAUUAGCUAGUUGGUAAGGUAGCGGCUUACCAAGGCGACGAUCAGUAGCCGACCUGAGAGGGUGAUCGGCCACACUGGAACUGAGACACGGUCCAGACUCCUACGGGAGGCAGCAGUGGGGAAUAUUGCACAAUGGGGGAAACCCUGAUGCAGCGACGCCGCGUGAGCGAAGAAGGCCUUCGGGUCGUAAAGCUCUGUCCUAAGGGAAGAAUAACUAACGGUACCUUAGGAGGAAGCUCCGGCUAAUUACGUGCCAGCAGCCGCGGUAAUACGUAAGGGGCGAGCGUUAUCCGGAAUCACUGGACAUAAAGGGUGCGUAGGCGGCUAAACAAGCCAGGGGUGAAAGGCUACGGCUCAACCGUAGUAAGCCUUUGGAACUGUUUGGCUUGAGUGCAGGAGAGGAGAGUGGCAUUCCUAGUGUAGCGGUGAAAUGCGUAGAUAUUAGGAGGAACACCAGUGGCGAAGGCGACUCUCUGGACUGUAACUGACGCUGAGGCACGAAAGCGUGGGUAGCAAACAGGAUUAGAUACCCUGGUAGUCCACGCCGUAAACGAUGAGCGCUAGGUGUCGGUGGUUCACACCAUCGGUGCCGGAGUUAACGCAUUAAGCGCUCCGCCUGGGGAGUACGGUCGCAAGACUGAAACUCAAAGGAAUUGACGGGGACCCGCACAAGCAGCGGAGCAUGUGGUUUAAUUCGAAGCAACGCGAAGAACCUUACCAGGACUUGACAUCCCUCUGACCGGUCCUUAACCGGACCUUUCCUUCGGGACAGAGGAGACAGGUGGUGCAUGGUUGUCGUCAGCUCGUGUCGUGAGAUGUUGGGUUAAGUCCCGUAACGAGCGCAACCCCUAUUUUUAGUUGCCAGCACCUUGGGUGGGCACUCUAGAGAGACUGCCGGUGAUAAACCGGAGGAAGGUGGGGAUGACGUCAAAUCAUCAUGCCCCUUAUGUUCUGGGCUACACACGUGCUACAAUGGCUGGUACAAAGGGCAGCUAAGGAGUAAUCUGGAGCCAAUCCCAUAAAGCCAGUCCCAGUUCGGAUUGUGGGCUGCAACUCGCCCACAUGAAGUUGGAGUUGCUAGUAAUCGCGGAUCAGAAUGUCGCGGUGAAUGCGUUCCCGGGUCUUGUACACACCGCCCGUCACACCAUGGGAGUUGGGGGCGCCCGAAGUCAG
rnacentral:rRNA from 1 species